CCAUCUUCCUGAGAUUAAUUAUUCUUUUUUUUUGGUGUGUGUGUGUGCGUGUGUGUACAGAAAUUGAAUAUUAAGAUUAAAAGGAGCUCUUGCCUCUUUCUGAUGGAAGAACUGAACACUCCCAGACCUCUCAGUGACCUUUUAGGGGAUGCUUUGGGAACUCUAAAAUCUUAGAAGAAGCAAAGGCUCAAGACCAUGAACAUUAUUAACAUGAGAUGCUGAGAAGGUCUUUGAUCGAGUGGAGUGGAAUUAUUUGAUAACAGCCUUCAUACAAUACUGAAAUGGAAUAACUUUUCAAGGUAGAUUUCCUUCUCUGUAUGCCCUGUAGCAGAUGUCAAGGCAAAUGCAGACAAGUGAAAAGUUUUAUUCUUUUUUGGAAAUAUUUACAACAUGGGCAUAUUUCAUCACAAAGCUAAUGAGCAGUGUAUUAGCAGGAAGAUUACAAAGGUUACCAUCCCACUGAGGUCAUACCUUGCUGUUGCAAAUGUAAAUUGAAACGUUACCUUCUCGAAGAGAUGUGAAAAAGAUUUUGCUGUAGUGUCUGAGACAAUAAAUGCUGGGACAGAAUGGUAAUGGAGAAAUGAAUGCAUCAAAUUAAAACUUGGCAACAGAGAAAAAAAAAUAUGUUCUCCCCCCACCCAAAUUCAAAAGACACAUUCUCCAGAUGUAAGGAAAUGAAUCACUAGAGAGUAAACCUGCAUUAUCCAUGUACUGAAUCCGAGGAAUGAAGCAGGAUUCAUUCAGGGCUGUUUCUCUUUGAGGAUGGCAAAGACUAGCUGAUUUAUGUGAGAAAUUUUAAGAGUAAUCUUUCCCCUUGGACAUCUCAGAGUCCCUUGUUUUAGGAUAAAAAUCAAAUGCUGCAGGUUUUUGGGUUGCAUUUCUUUUUCCUCCUUAGUGUCAUUUUAAGACAAAACUUCCAGAAGAUUUUUCAUGAACUCCUACGUUCUACUGCCAGAAGUUCAUCUUGACAACCAGCGCAACCCUUUUUGUUGCUCAUUUUAACAUGCUAGCCUAUUUUGCAUUGCCUGAUACCAACAAGGAGGGGGAAAAUCCCUAUUUGAACUUUACCCCGUGACAUAAUAUCUUUCUUUGUACUCCAAAACUUUAUAGGUCUCCCUUGCUAUUCUGCCUUAUUGAAAACUCAUGCCUUAUUUGCUGCUCAUUAUUAUCUUUUCAAUAUUUCUGCAUCUUAAGGUUCCUUGUAUUAUACAACAUUUGUUUCUAACAAUUUUUCUUCUGCAAAAGGUAUGCUUUUGCACUGUUGAACUGAAUUGCACAGUGUUAUUAUCUGUCAGUUUUUCUAAUUCUUUGGGUGUCUGUCAUGAGUUACACAUCAUCCAACAGAAGUGUGUGCAGAGUAUAUUAGUUAAUAGUCUGUAGAAUCCAAAUAUCUGGCAUGAAUGGAGGAUGCAAACAGUUUUAAAGACAGCAGAAGGUGGGUUUGAGUGUUCAUUUACUUAUGAAAUAGUAAAAAUUAAUAAAUGGAUGUGGAAGACAGUCCACUCUAAAUACAUACGAUGCCGUGCUAAAGUCACAGAGCUGCUAUAUUUUUAAUGCACUUGCAAAGUUUCAUCUGCAAAUUUCAUUAAUAUAUUCCUGUAGAUCCAGGAUGGCUUCUCCUCAGGAGUCUCUACUUUCUGGAUCAUAAAGUUGUCUUCACUGUAAUUUAGGAACCUCUGCGAUGAUGCAUGUUCAGCUGUAUUUGUUACUCAACAGAUGUCUGGGUAGUUAAAUUCCUCCAUGAGCCUUUAUCAGUACUUCUAUUCUGGGAUUCCCAACUGGUUCAAGAUGUACCUCUCCUAGUCGGCAGCAGUACCAUCGCUCAGAGAUCAGCAUGCACAGCAUGGGCCACGGUUGUUCAGCACAGGUCUCGGGUGGCUGGUUGCCCUGAUCGCUGAUAGUCUUACUGCUUGAGUUGGCCGUGCAAGCCUAGAGUCAAUGUCUUGUUUUUUCCUGCCCAAAGGCCAGGCUAUAGGGCAGCUGGGGCUCUGCCCUGCUUUCGUAAUUCCCGAGAUCAUUCACUGUGGUAACUGUCACUGCUCUUCCUGUGGGGCUGCUGCCUGGGCUUGCUGCUCCUCCAUAAAUUCUGACAACACCUGCUGUUCUCGCUAUUCCCUCAUAUAUUACAUCUACAACAGAAGCAUUGAAACACACGCUGCUCACACUUCAUUUGAACAGGCACCUUCCCAAUGUAACACACUGAUUCUAAUGCUGCCUCUUUGAGGGGUUUGGUUUCAAUAAAACAGGCGUGAUAAUGAGUUAACAACACUGAAGUUGAAUUUUCUUCAGACCUACCCAGGGCUCCUUGGCUGUCCCAGCUGCUCUUCCUGCACACUGGGUCAGCUCUUGUCUUGGAGAACCACUCUUGCCUUGUAGAACCGCUCAUGCCCACUUGGUCACUGGUUGCAAAGAGUCGCCAGCAUGCAUUCAGUCUUCUGCCAGUGGGCUCUUUCCCUGAGUCACAUCAGUUAGGCAGGUCAAGAUCUUGAUGGUGACCCAAGACAACAUUCAUCCUCUGCUCAGGCAGCUCAUUUUCCUCCCAGUGUAAAGCUCA
ensembl:lncRNA